GAGACCUUCUCGAGAAAUUAUGUACCUUAUAAAGUGUACCUGUUCUGCAGGCCCUAAAAGAGUUAGAACAUGUCAUUGUUUCAUCUCCUUGAGGUUUAAAUCCAAUGUUGGACUGCCAAAGACUGGCUGUUGCUAUCCCACCGUAAGUAAUCC